rnacentral:rRNA from 1 species
UACGGAGGGUGCGAGCGUUAUCCGGAAUCACUGGGCGUAAAGGGCGCGUAGGCGGCGCGGAUAGUCGGCGGUGAAAGCCCGGAGCUCAACUCCGGGUCGGCCGUCGAUACUUCCGGGCUUGAGCACUGUAGAGGCAGAUGGAAUUCCGGGUGUAGCGGUGGAAUGCGUAGAGAUCCGGAAGAACACCGGUGGCGAAGGCGGUCUGCUGGGCAGUUGCUGACGCUGAUGCGCGACAGCGUGGGGAGCAAACAGG